UACGAAGGGGGCUAGCGUUGUUCGGAUUUACUGGGCGUAAAGCGCACGUAGGCGGAUUGGUCAGUUAGGGGUGAAAUCCUGGAGCUCAACUCCAGAACUGCCUUUGAUACUGGCAAUCUCGAGUCCGGAAGAGGUGAGUGGAACUCCUAGUGUAGAGGUGGAAUUCGUAGAUAUUAGGAAGAACACCAGUGGCGAAGGCGGCUCACUGGUCCGGUACUGACGCUGAGGUGCGAAAGCGUGGGGAGCAAACAGG
rnacentral:rRNA from 1 species